rnacentral:tRNA from 1 species
CGCAGUGUAGCGCAGCCUGGUAGCGCACCUCGUUUGGGACGCGAGGGGGCCGCAGGUUCGAAUCCUGCCACUCCGACCA